AUUGAACGCUGGCGGCAUGCCUUACACAUGCAAGUCGAACGGCAGCACGGGAGCUUGCUCCUGGUGGCGAGGGGCGAACGGGUGAGUAAUACAUCGGAACGUACCCAGUAGUGGGGGAUAACGCACCGAAAGGUGCGCUAAUACCGCAUACGACCUACGGGUGAAAGCGGGGGACCGUAAGGCCUCGCGCUAUUGGAGCGGCCGAUGUCUGAUUAGCGAGUUGGCGGGGUAAAAGCCCACCAAGGCGACGAUGAGUAGCUGGUCUGAGAGGACGCUCAACCACACUGGAACUGAGACACGGCCCAGCCUCCUACGGGAGGCAGCAGUGGGGAAUUUUGGACAAUGGGGGCAACCCUGAUCCAGCAAUGCCGCGUGUGCGAAGAAGGCCUUAGGGUUGUAAAGCACUUUUGUCAGGGAAGAAAUCUUUCAGGCUAAUACCCUUGGAAGGAUGACGGUACCUGAAGAAUAAGCACCGGCUAACUACGUGCCAGCCGCCGCGGUAA
rnacentral:rRNA from 1 species